ACCGCAUAAGCCCACGGUACCGCAUGGCACUGAGGGAAAAGGAUUUAUUCGCUUUAGGAUGGACUCGCGUCCAAUUAGCUAGUUGGUGAGGUAACGGCCCACCAAGGCGACGAUUGGUAGCCGGACUGAGAGGUUGAACGGCCACAUUGGGACUGAGACACGGCCCAGACUCCUACGGGAGGCAGCAGUGGGGGAUAUUGCACAAUGGGGGAAACCCUGAUGCAGCGACGCCGCGUGGAGGAAGAAGGUUUUCGGAUUGUAAACUCCUGUCGUUAGGGACGAUAAUGACAGUACCUAACAAGAAAGCACCGGCUAACUACGUGCCAGCAGCCGCGGUAAAACGUAGGGUGCAAGCGUUGUCCGGAAUUACUGGGUGUAAAGGGAGCGCAGGCGGGAAGACAAGUUGGAAGUGAAAACUAUGGGCUCAACCCAUGAAUUGCUUUCAAAACUGUUUUUCUUGAGUAGUGCAGAGGUAGAUGGAAUUCCCGGUGUAGCGGUGGAAUGCGUAGAUAUCGGGAGGAACACCAGUGGCGAAGGCGGUCUACUGGGCACCAACUGACGCUGAGGCUCGAAAGCAUGGGUAGCAAACAGGAUUAGAUACCCUGGUAGUCCACACUGUAAACGAUGAAUACUAGGUGUGC
rnacentral:rRNA from 1 species